ensembl:lncRNA
UAUUCCAUUCUACGAUGCUGUGUGUCAUCAGGACUGCUGUGGUCUUGGAUGUGUGCACGAGGCCAAGGCACUGUCACAUUAAUAUCUGUGUGAUCUCAGUGCCACUUUGCUUUUCCAUCAUGGUCAGGGCUGCUGUUGUUUCUGUGCCAAAAAAUGUACCCUCCAAUAAACAACCCACCAUCUAGAACUCUGAGAGAUGCUAUUGGCCUUUAUCACUCUUCUCUCUGAGAAGGUAGAGUCUGCUUAGGUUCCAGAAAUGUUGUCUUAAGAUAGCUGGAGGGAAGUGUUUGAAAUGGCACAUAUGCUUGUGAUCCUGGUAACCAAGGAAACAUGUCCCUGAUGCAAAGCUUCCUUUAAAAAAAAAAUGAUGGUACCUUUAGGGGGAUUGUCUCAGAAUCACCCACAGCAAGAUUCCAAAGGGAUUUGAAAUUAAACUAGGUCACUUCCAGAAACUGUAUCGAGAAUCAACAAAGUCCAUAAAGAGCUGCCUCUUUAAAAAUGCACUUUAGAAUAGCUACCCCAGUACAUUGUGGAUAUAAUAUUUUACUUCCUGAAUAAUCUGUCUUACAUCCAUUUUGAUGGAUGUUGAAUAAAUCUUCCUAGAGUAAACUUCCCUCUGCUCUUGCUUUUUUUUUUUUUUUUAUGACUGUAGAUUUUAUUUUAUUUAUUUAUUUUUUGUCUUUUUGCCAUUUUCUUGGGCCGCUCUCAUGGCAUAUGGAGGUUCCCAGGCUAGGGGCCGAAUCGACCAGCCUAAGCCAGAGCCACAGCAACGCGGGAUCCCAGCUACAUCUGCAACCUACACCACAGCUCAGGGCAAUGCCGGAUCGUUAACCCACUGAGCAAGGGUAGGGAUCAAACCCCGCAACCUCAUGGUUCCUAGUCGGAUUCGUUAACCACUGCGCCACGACGGGAACUCCUGCUCUUGCUUUAUUAUUUGUGUUAUUAUUAUCAUUCUUAGUUUGCUACCUGUUCCCAAAUAAUCUUCAGAUUACCUAUCCCUUAUAUCAGUCAGGGAUUAAAACUAUAUAGUGAUGGUUCAACUCAACAGUUACCCAGCUUGCACACGGAUUUGCUAGGGCUUGCUGAUACAUGCAUCUUGUAUAGAAUCAUAGAAAUUGGAGUUGAUUUAGUAGAUAACCAAAAACAAACUUCUCUUUCAACAAAUGAGAAACUGAAUCUUUAGGAGGAGUGAUUUAGAGGCAGAAGUCAGGGCCUGAAUCUGAGUAUAUGUGUAUUUUGGUAAUGUUCUUGACACAAAGACAUGAGCUUUGGAAGAGAUCCUGUAGAAUGAGCACCAAUUCCAUUUUAAUUGAUUAAUGAAUGAAUGAAUGAAUGAGUGAAUUUUCAGUUUUAGCUGCCCCUUGCAUGUGGAGUUCCCAGGCCAGGGAUCAGAUCCAAGCCACAGUUGCUACCUAAGCCACAGCUGCGGCAAUGCCGGAUCCCUAACUUACUGUGCCAGGCUAGGGAUUGAACCUGAGUACCAGUGUUCCCAAGACACCACUAAUCCCGUUGUGCCACAGUGGGAGCUCCACCAAUCCCAUUUUAACAUUUCCAUGUGUUACAAAAGAUUUCUGAGCACUGGAAAACCGAAAAGACAUACUGAAUUCACAAAUAGCAGAAGGGUUAGGACAGUUCUGAAUGCAGAGGUCUCAGGCUCAUAUGCUAUAGCAGCCAGACAGUCUUUACAAAUAUGUAGACUGGUCUGUUACUUAACCUUGGGAAGAACUCUUUUUGUGUGUGUGUGUGUGUGUGUGUGUGUGUUUGCCUUUUCUAGGGCCACUCCCGCAGCAUAUGGAGGUUCCCAGGCUAGGGGUCUAAUAGGAGCUGUAGCCACCGAACUACACCACAGCCACAGCAACACCAGAUCCGAGCCUCGUCUGCAACCUACACCACAGCUCACGGCAACGCCGGAUCCUUAACCCACUGAGCAAGGCCAGGGAUCGAACCCACAAUCUCAUGGUUCCUAGUCGGAUUCAUUAACCACUGAGCUAUGACGGGAACUCCCUGGAAGGACUCUUAACACCAGAUUGGGCAGCAGCCCCUGCCUUAGACUUUCUUGCAAUCAUCUAGAAACUGAAUUUGUGCUGCAUUUUUCUCAAGUGAAAUGGUUCAUAAUUAAAGAGGUUGAAGUGGAAAGAAGUGUACAUAGAAUUUUCACUGGAGAGCAAAUUUUACACCUGAUGCCUGGUUAUUAAUUAAAUUAUAUACCUGGCAGUACAAUUUCGGCUUCUCUUAAAAGUUAAAUUCUCACUGUCUAUGAAAGACACUGGGAAGCUUUGAUGGGAUUUUAAAGGUGCCCGAUUAUUAGAGUCAUGAAAAUGAGCACAGACCCUGAAACAAGUCUGUAUUGUCUGAAGGCAGUGGUUCUCAAGCUGCAGUGGGCAAUAGAAUCACUUGGAGGGCUUCUUAUAUUCCUGGGCCCUGCCCCCAAUUUCUGAUUCACUAAGUCUAGGGUGGAGCUUGAGAAUUUGCAUUUCUAACGAAUUCCCAGGAGAUGCUAUUGCUCCAGAAACUAUGCUUUGAGGACCACUGAAUUAAAGGCAGCCCUGCAAUUUACUUAAUUUAAUAUCAGUAUUCCAUUUCACUCAGUGUUUUUAUUUCUUCUUCAGCCUCCUUCUCAGCCAGUCACUUCUGUGGCCCCUUAGAUAGAACAUCAAUGUUUAACGAUUGGCUUUAGGGUUGAGGAAGAGCCCUAGUUUGCACCGGUCCCAGUUUCUGUGGUGCAAAUAACUACCAUCGUGGCCCGUUUAAAGCUUCCAAUACCACAACAAUCACCUUGUGUAAAAUUUCUGAAAAUUUAAUGAUCCUCUUCAGCACAGCCCUGGAUCAUAAGGAAAUGUCAAAGGUCAUGCUGAAAUUUAACCUUAUGUAAAGGGGACCCUUGGGUGCUGUUGGUGGGACUGUAAAUUGGUACAGCCAUUACGGAGAACAGGCCAUACAGAGGUGCCUCAAAAAUUAAAAUAGAACUAUCUUAAGACUCAGCAAUCCCACUUCUGGGUCUCUACCCAAGGGAAAUGAAAUCCGUUUCUCAAAGAAAGAGCUACAUUCUUGUGUUCAGUGUGGCAUUUUUCACAAUUGCCGAGACAGGGAAACAACCUAAGGGUCUAUCGGUGGAUGAAUGGAUAAAGGAACUGUGGAACAUUUAUACAAUGGAAUAUCAUUCGGCCAUAAAAAAGAAGGAACUAAAUCCUGUAAUUUGCAAUAACUUGGAUUAACCUUGAGGGUAAGUGAAAUCAGCAAAAUGGAGAAAGACAAUACUGGGUGGUGUCCUUAUGAAGCGGAAUAAUCACACUCAUAGACGCACAAAGGAGAACUGUGGUUGUCGCGGGUGUGGGGGAAAUGAGGAGAGGUAGGUCUGCAGGUGCAGACUUUUGGUUCUAAGGAAUAAGUUCUGGGGAUCUAAUGUGCAGCACGGCGACCUUCGUUAAUAGCAGUGUAUUGUACACUGGAAGUUGGCUAAGACAGUAGAUCUCAAUUGUUGCUGCCACCAAAAAGGGUUAAAUGUGUGAAAAAAGGAAAAGGAAGGGAGGGAGGAAGGAAGGAAGAAAAUUAACCUUAUGUGAGAUGGACUUUUACCCCUCUUCGAGGGUCAGAUAUGGAGAGGGAUACGAAAUAAAUUCUUGUUUAUGCCUGGGUGGUUCCAUGAAGGGGAUUGCAGUCCAGAGGGUAUGGAUACUGUAGUUCAGUAGUUAAAGACUGAUCGUUGUAUUGGCUCUAAAGCCUUUUGAUUUUGAAUUCGUUGCUGACUUUAACUGAGAUGUUUCAUAUGGAAAAAAAUUUCAGUGUCUUUUAUUGGCUGACAUGUUGGAAGUUGUGGCAGCCCCCCGUCUCAGAUUCUUAGUCAUCAGCCAUUACCUGGAGCUGUGUAAUAGCUGUUUCCUCCUCCACCUGUUCCGCACGUAGACUGGGAAGGACCUUUCCAGUCCAUGCCUGUUCCCAGGCUACCAGCUCUGCAGCCAUCAGGCCUGCCUCAUCCAUCUCCACUCACACUGGCUAACACUGGCUGUCAUGCCCUCUGCACCAUUUGAAGAUGCAAAUCCAGGAGAAUAUGCAUCCUUCUUCAUGGGUGCAAGAUCCACUAGGGAGAAGGGAAACAUUUGAUUCCCUCGAAGGACCUUUACACAUUAAAGAGUGAAAGCGGUCAGGUAGCUCUUUUUUAUUCCUUCUUCUGUGUUCUCAUCUCCUGCCCUCCCUUUACUUGGAGAGGGGGAAAGGAUGAAAGAAGAAUUAUUCUUUCUAGAAACAGAAGCCCAAACCUGGAGAACCCUCCAAUUUCUCUUUCCAAACUACAGACCUGGAAUCUAGAGGAGGCUAUUCCUGAUAAGAGAAGACUUGUUCCUUGGUGGUUUAAUGAUUGUUUAUAUGGUGUGAACACUUUUCUGGUCCGAAUCCUGUGAUUUAUGUCCCGUUAUGUCACACCGGUAUUCCCUUUCCCAUUUUCUCUCAGCAUCUUGAAUCUGCCCUGCCCAGGUUAAUUUAUACAUGCUUAGGUUCUGUUAUUAUGGGAAAACACAAAGACAAAGAAAACCCUUCUCACAAAAUCGUUGGCUUGCCUGAACCCCACUGUGGUUAUUUUAUUUGAGGGUAGUGUCAUGAGGGAGAUAGUCUAAGAGUCUCAGUCAGAAAAGCAUGGAUUUCCAUCUGAUCAUUAUCAGAUUGAGAGCUAAAUACUUUGGCACCUUUCAUGAGGAAAGAGCCCUGGGAAUUUUCUGGAUAAACAUCAUCAGUUUUGACAGCGUGCAGAAUUUAGGCCACCCACGUUGUGUGGGGUCCAAAACUGUUCCGUGAAGUUUACAUGAUGUGUUUCAAGAGUUUGGUUGAACUUGUAAUUUAACCUGGUGGCAGGGGGGAGAGUAAAUAAAUACUGGUGGGAAAAUAUUUGUGCUCAAAAUCAAUAAGGAACGGGCAGUAUGUUGCCUGCACUCUGAGAGCUUGGCUUUGCAGCUGAAGUUAGUACCGGGUGGCUUUCGUCAAGAGCAAGGAAGGGAGAGCAAAGACGUCGACCCUGGGUUGGGCAUGUUGGCUUGCUAAGGAUUGCUGCUGCCGGCUCCUUGUCUUAUGAUGUUCAAGUCAGGUUUAUCCACAGCUGAACACUCAGUGAGGAUUAUUCAGCCUUCACUUUGUGCCAUGUGGUGCAACACAGGAAAUUAGCAGUGUGAUCAAGAGUCUCACUUGUGAGGGGUUCCUGCUGUGGCCCAGUGGGUUAAGGAUCCCAAGUUGCCGCCGCUUCGGUAUAGGUCACAGCUGCAGCUCAAAUUCAGUCCCUGGACUGGGCACGUCCAUAUGCCACAGGUGUGGUCAUAAAAAGGGGGGGGGGGAUGUGACUCUCUUAUGAGAUGGAGAAACUGACUCCUAGAGAAGUCACUUACUCUAUGGUGGUCUCACAACCCAUGUGUGAGGGACCUGGGCCUUGGCUCCAGCUCUUCCUGAGUCCACCUUUUAUCAUUCCUCUUUCUGUGGCUGAUUUCUAGUGUCAUGCUGUUGUGGUCUGAGUCCUUUUGAAUCACAUAUUCUCUGCAUAUGUCAUGGCCUUUGGAAGAGGAUCCCUUGUAAGUUUUUUUUUAAUACCCCUAAAUGUGGAAUCUGUAACAUUUCUUACUUUAAACUCCUCUACUGGGUACAAGUUCUUUGGCUAUUGCCUAGCACAUGCCAUCUCUCUGAUGAGGCCUGAACAUACUUUGAUUUUGAAUGCAUAUUGAUGUAUAUAUUAUGGUGAGUUCAUCUGACUUUAUAACAUGUAGCUUUAACUUCUCUAUUUUUUCCUUCUUUAGUUGAUUCAUCCACCAACUAUCUGCAUACAUAGGGAAAAAAUACUUUCGUCUCUUUUCUUUCAUUUAGGAAAAUUGAAAGACACUAGAUUUUCAAACUCCCACCCAAAUAAAGUAGGCAGGUUCCUACAUUCUGUAAAAAGUACAGCAUCUGGUGAAUGGAGCAUGUUAGAAUUUCCAUUAAGAAUUCUCCCAGGCUCUAGUUUUCUGGAGCCGUGUGGUAUUCUCCCAGUGAACCCGGAAGUAUGUUUUUUUAAGAAUUUCUUGGAGUUCCCAUUGUGCUGCAACAGAAACAAAUCCAACUAGGAGCCAUGAAGUUGCGGGUUUGAUCCCUGGCCUCAGUGGGUCAAGGAUCUGGCAUUGCUGUGAGCUGUGGUGUAGGUCGUAGACGCAGCUUGGAUCUUGUGGCUGUGGUGUAGGCGGGCAGUUGUAGCUCC